AGAGUUUGAUCAUGGCUCAGGAUGAACGCUGACAGAAUGCUUAACACAUGCAAGUCGAUGAGAAGACUCCCUUCGGGGAGAGGGUAUCAUGGCGGACGGGUGAGUAACGCGUAAAGAACUUGCCAUAUGGACUGGGAUAACCGAUGGAAACGACGGAUAAGACCAGAUAUAAUGAACUGAUGGCAUCAUUAGUUUAUGAAAAGCAAUGCCAUAUGAGAGCUUUGCGUCCUAUUAGCUAGUUGGUAGUGUAAUGGACUACCAAGGCGAUGAUAGGUAGCCGGCCUGAGAGGGUGGACGGCCACAAGGGGACUGAGAUACGGCCCUUACUCCUACGGGAGGCAGCA
rnacentral:rRNA from 1 species